UACGUAGGGCGCAAGCGUUAUCCGGAAUUAUUGGGCGUAAAGAGCUCGUAGGCGGUUUGUCGCGUCUGCCGUGAAAGUCCGGGGCUCAACUCCGGAUCUGCGGUGGGUACGGGCAGACUAGAGUGAUGUAGGGGAGAACGGAAUUCCUGGUGUAGCGGUGAAAUGCGCAGAUAUCGGGAGGAACACCGGUGGCGAAGGCGGUUCUCUGGGCCUUACCUGACGCUGAGGAGCGAAAGCGUGGGGAGCGAACAGG
rnacentral:rRNA from 1 species